rnacentral:rRNA from 1 species
GAUGAACGCUAGCGGCAGGCCUAAUACAUGCAAGUCGAACGGUAACAGGGAUAGCAAUAUCCGCUGACGAGUGGCGCACGGGUGCGUAACACGUAUGCAACCUACCUAUAACCGGGAAAUAGCUCGGAGAAAUUCGAAUUAAUGUCCCAUAAUAUCAUGAGAUGGCAUCGUUUUAUGAUUAAAGAUUUAUCGGUUAUGGAUGGGCAUGCGUUUGAUUAGCUAGUUGGUGAGGUAAUGGCUCACCAAGGCGACGAUCAAUAGGGGUUCUGAGAGGAUGAUCCCCCACACUGGUACUGAGAUACGGACCAGACUCCUACGGGAGGCAGCAGUAGGGAAUAUUGGGCAAUGGAGGCAACUCUGACCCAGCCAUGCCGCGUGAAGGAAGAAGGCCUUCUGGGUUGUAAACUUCUUUUAUAUGGGAAGAAAGGACUCUUGCGAGAGGCGUUGACGGUACCAUAUGAAUAAGCACCGGCUAACUCCGUGCCAGCCGCCGCCGUAACAC